rnacentral:lncRNA from 1 species
UGAGCCAUGGUUGGGGUAUUGUGUUCUCAUAAAGGGAUGACCUCAGGGGUUGCUGAGAUGGUUAUCCUUGUACUUAAUGGCCUUGGCUUGUUAGAGGCUGUUUGAUUCUGAUUCUCCUCCUCCUUUUCUUCCUCUACUUCCUCUUCCUCUUUCUUCCUUUUUCUUUCUUCCUUCCUGCCCUCUUUUUCUUUCGGUCUUUUCUUUCAGUCUCUUUUUUCCUUUCUUUCUCUUUCUUUUUCUCUCCUCCCCCUUCCUCUCUUUCUUCUUCAACAGCCUUCAACAGUCUCUGCCCUCAAGUAGCUCCCAGGCUACUAGGAAAGGCAAUAAGCAACUAACUACACAUGAACAAGCUAUAUAAGGAUAAAUUGGAGGCAGUCUUGGAGGGAAGACACUCGCAAUAAGGAGAAAGAAAUGUGUGAAAGAGGAAAGCUUUGGAAACUUGAAAAUGUCAUGGAAACGGAAGUAAUUCUUGUCCGGAGUGGUUUGCAGCUUCCCAUGCAUGAUGGGCUGGGAAGCCCGAUGUCCAGUUCCAUCGGGUCGUAUCAAAAAUAGAGCAAACAGGGGGCCGGGACCUGAAGGGUUCUUCUCCGAAGAGAGCACGUGGACUAUUUACUUACGGAAUGGAUUUGCCACAUCUUUUGGAGGGAGGAUCCCCAAGACGAAGAGCUACAAAUCUCGGAGAUAGAAGGAAACUUGGAGAUGGUCCCAUUCAACUUGUUUGUUUCAUAGAUGAAGAAACUAAGGCUCAGAGAAGCAAAGGCAAGCAUGGGUGGUUAACCCAGGGCUCCGUCCAUCUAAUCCCGCGCUCACUGUGCUUUCCCCGAAUCCCUAGGUGCCAGCAGCUUGUGACAUGCAGGGGGCAUUAGUUCAUGCAGUGAGUAAAUGAACAGGGCGGGGGUGGGGGGUGGGGGGCAGCUACCACCUCAGACAGCCAUAAAAUGUUGCUUAUGCUGCAGAAAAAGUGUUUUUAAUGGGGCAUUUGUUAGCUGGUCACAGGCAGUUUUUGACCUCAGCUGAGAACCACCAUAACAGCAAACAUAGAUGAAGCCUCUCUGAAGACUCCACUCAAGUCAACACAAAGAGGGCUAGAGGCUACUGU